rnacentral:tRNA from 7 species
GUCUCCGUAGCUCAGUUGGAUAGAGCGAACGCCUCCUAAGCGUUAGGCCGCUGGUUCGAUUCCAGUCGGGGACACCA